ensembl:lncRNA
AAAUAAGAAACUAACCAAACUAAAAAAUUCGAACAAAUUAAACGAAAGACGAGAGACUAAUAAACAAAACGAAAAUUUAAACAAUGACACAUCGAACGAUAUUGUUAAUAUGUUAAUUACAAAAAAGUUUUACUCUACCCAAGAAAAAGAAGUACAUUUUAAAAAGUUUAUAAAAAAUGAAAAAAUUAAAUUUAAUCAAAAAAGAAUUGAUGAUAAGGAUAAAUGGAAUACAUUACAUACUUUUGCAUUAUCGUGUAUAAGUACGUCAUUAUAUGCUUAUUGUUAUUUAGAUUUACCACAAAUAGACUCAUUAGUAGAUUUUAUUAUACUGGGUCUUGUUAUUUUCUUUUUUUAUUUUUGUAUUGGAUUGCCUAUAGUGAAAUUAGAAUUUGCAUUAGGACAAUUAUCACAAAGUAAUAUAAUAAAUAGUGUUAACAUGUUAAAUAAAAAAUUUAAACCAGUUGGUAUUAUUACUUUAUUAAUACUUUAUAAUCUAUUAUCAAAAAAUAUAAACAAUACUAUAAACACUACUAUAACGGUAGUUAAUUCAUUAAAACAACCUAUGCCUUGGAAUAUAAAGCCGUGUGAACACAUUCUUAACAAAGUAGACUGUAUUAAAAAUGAUAUAUGUAAAUGGAGAGAAAAAAGUACUACAGGUACUACAAAUAAUGGCAGACUCACUCGUGGGCUGACUACUCUUUAUUCUAGCACAGACUACAAUAUGUUUGCUAAUAUUCAUACAUUGUUAAAUGGAAACCAAAAUACGCAUAUUAGUACUGAUGUUAACAAUAAAGACAAACUAAAUGAUAAAAAAAAUCUCAAACCAAACGAAAUCGCAUUGUACGCCUUACAAUCGGAUGGUAGUAGUAGUGGUAGUGGUAGUGGUAGCACUGGUAGUACUGGUAGCACUGGUAGUAUUGGUAGCACUGGUAGUAUUGGUAGCAUUGGUAGCACUGGUAGCACUGGUAGCACUGGUAGUAUUGGUAGCACUGGUAGUAGUAACAAUAACCAAUGCAUGACUGAUAAUAUUUUAGAAACUUCUAAUUUUUUUGACAAACGAAUAACAUAUGCUAACAGAUUAAAAUAUUUAUUUAUAGUUAUAUUAAUAAUAUAUAUAUUAUUAAUAGUAGAAGAUAUGUAUUUAUAUCAAGUAUUAAGCUAUUCGUUUUUAUUUUUCAUAUUUGUUACUACAUUUCAUUGUUUUCUGUUUUAUUUUAAAAUAUGUAAGCGUAGGGAAAUAAUAAAUAUGAACCCAAAUUAUAUUAAUUAUGGUAAAAGUAACAACAGUAGUAGUAUAUUUUUUAAUAAGGAUUAUUUGUUUUAUUUAAAUAUACCAUUUAUUAUGAAACUAGUAACCUUGGUUCUUUUUUCAAUUAAUUGUUCAACAGGUAUAAAUUAUAUGUUUUCAUCGCAUACUAAUAUUGGGCAAAAUAUACUUUCAUCAGCAUCACAUGUCGUAUUGGGAUCUUCUCUUGGUAUGUCAGUAUAUAUUAUAUUUUACUAUAUAUGUAUUAAUUUUAUUAAAAUGUCGUCAAUAGCAGAAGUAGCAGCAGUUAAUAUGAAUUAUGACAAUAACAUAUCUUUAAGUAAUUUAAUAAAUAAUUUUAAUUUUGUACCUAUUAAUUAUUCAUCAUUUCAAGACUUUUGUUUACAAAACAAUUUUGUACAUACUCAUAUAUUAUACAUUGUUUCAUUAUCAAAAUUAAAAUUUGCCAAAAUAUCGAGUUUUUUUUAUUUUUUAUCUUUUAUACCUAUUUUACUUAUUUCAUCUGCUGUAUAUUUAAAAUGUAUAAUAAUGAUAUUAAAAGAAGGUAAAAAAUUUAAAAAUUAUAAAAAACAAAUUAUUACUUUAUUUAUUCUUAUUUUAUAUUUUAU